rnacentral:rRNA from 1 species
AUUGAACGCUGGCGGAAUGCUUUACACAUGCGAGUCGAACGGCAGCACGGGGCAACCUGGUGGCGAGUGGCGAACGGGUGAGUAAUACAUCGGAACGUGCCCAAUCGUGGGGGAUAACGUAGCGAAAGUUACGCUAAUACCGCAUACGAUCUACGGAUGAAAGCGGGGGAUCGCAAGACCUCGCGCGAAUGGAGCGGCCGAUGUCAGAUUAGGUAGUUGGUGGGGUAAAGGCUCACCAAGCCGACGAUCUGUAGCUGGUCUGAGAGGACGACCAGCCACACUGGGACUGAGACACGGCCCAGACUCCUACGGGAGGCAGCAGUGGGGAAUUUUGGACAAUGGGCGCAAGCCUGAUCCAGCCAUUCCGCGUGCAGGAUGAAGGCCUUCGGGUUGUAAACUGCUUUUGUACGGAACGAAACGGCGAGCUCUAAUACAGUUUGCUAAUGACGGUACCGUAAGAAUAAGCACCGGCUAACUACGUGCCAGCAGCCGCCGUAAAAC